rnacentral:rRNA from 1 species
ACGGAAGGCAGCAGUCGGGAAUAUUGCGCAAUGGAGGCAACUCUGACGCAGUGACGCCGCGUAUAGGAAGAAGGUUUUCGGAUUGUAAACUAUUGUCGUUAGGGAAGAAACAAGACAGUACCUAAGGAGGAAGCCCCGGCUAACUAUGUGCCAGCAGCCGCGGUAAUACAUAGGGGGCAAGCGUUAUCCGGAAUUAUUGGGUGUAAAGGGUGCGUAGACGGGUUUUUAAGUUAGUUGUGAAACCCCUCGGCUCAACUGAGGAACUGCAACUAAAACUGGAAAUCUUGAGUGUCGGAGAGGAAAGUGGAAUUCCUAGUGUAGCGGUGAAAUGCGUAGAUAUUAGGAGGAACACCAGUGGCGAAGGCGACUUUCUGGACGAUAACUGACGUUGAGGCACGAAAGUGUGGGGAGCAAACAGGAUUAGAUACCCUGGUA